rnacentral:misc_RNA from 1 species
CAGCUGAACUUUUUGGAAGGUGGGUUCUUGAAAAUCUUAGAAAAUGGCUACCAGCAAUGACAUUGUUGCAGCUACAAAGGGUCAAGAAGAACUAAGUGUAUUAAUCUCAGAGAGGGAAAUUUUCGACCAAUGUGGACCUGUGCACCUAACUGCUAUUGACUGGGAAAAUGUUGCUCAUCAACGAUCUGUGGCUGCCAGUUUGGUUCAGGGCGUCUACAUCCUAG